rnacentral:rRNA from 1 species
GAUGAACGCUGGCGGCGUGCCUAAUACAUGCAAGUCGAGCGAACAGACGAGGAGCUUGCUCCUCUGACGUUAGCGGCGGACGGGUGAGUAACACGUGGAUAACCUACCUAUAAGACUGGGAUAACUUCGGGAAACCGGAGCUAAUACCGGAUAAUAUAUUGAACCGCAUGGUUCAAUAGUGAAAGACGGUUUUGCUGUCACUUAUAGAUGGAUCCGCGCCGCAUUAGCUAGUUGGUAAGGUAACGGCUUACCAAGGCAACGAUGCGUAGCCGACCUGAGAGGGUGAUCGGCCACACUGGAACUGAGACACGGUCCAGACUCCUACGGGAGGCAGCGGUAGGGAAUCUUCCGCAAAGGGCGAAAGCCUGACGGAGCAACGCCGCGUGAGUGAUGAAGGUCUUCGGAUCGUAAAACUCUGUUAUUAGGGAAGAACAAAUGUGUAAGUAACUAUGCACGUCUUGACGGUACCUAAUCAGAAAGCCACGGCUAACUACGUG